rnacentral:rRNA from 1 species
GACGAACGCUGGCGGCGUGCUUAACACAUGCAAGUCGAGCGGUAAGGCCCUUUCGGGGGUACGACGAGCGGCGAACGGGUGAGUAACACGUGGGUGACCUGCCCUCAGCUCUGGGAUAAGCCUGGGAAACUGGGUCUAAUACUGGAUAUGACUCCACGGUGCAUGUCGUGGGGUGGAAAGCCUUGUGCGGCUGAGGAUGGGCCCGCGGCCUAUCAGCUUGUUGGUGGGGUGAGGCCUACCAAGGCGACGACGGGUAGCCGGCCUGAGAGGGCGACCGGCCACACUGGGACUGAGACACGGCCCAGACUCCUACGGGAGGCAGCAGUGGGGAAUCUUGCGCAAUGGGCGAAAGCCUGACGCAGCGACGCCGCGUGAGGGAUGACGGCCUGGUGUAA